AGUCAGAGGAGGGAAGAUUCACCCGGACUCAGAGGAAGUCGGACACAUGAAACUGGGGAGAGGAUACCCAAGCUCUACAAAGAUCACCAUGACAGUGGUUUUCUGUAUAGGCAUUUCUGGAACCUCCACAGACGACUCGCUGAACAAUUACUAACAGACCACAGCUCGAGCUGAAGCCUAUUUUCAAAUACGCACAACAGAAUUAAACGGUCUGUAUCCUACGGGCUGCUUGUGCUUCUCGCUAAGGAUUCAAAUCGCUCCUGUGCAGGGCGCAGAUUAAUAAAUGAAGAACGUGAACCACAGCGCCGCUCUGCUGUGACGGAGGAGACAGCAAAAAGUAACGUUUUUGCCGAAAAGGACAGAGUUACCGAGGCAUUAACCCAGCAAUAACUAAAUCUGUACUGACUGGCUUUAUAUCAACUUCACAUAAGCUGCAUUUACCUGAAAGGAGAGAACCUUAAUUGAAGAAAUCCCUCCAUGAGAUCCAGUUCUGAGGGCUUCCAGUUUCCCCAUAGGCAGGCUAGCAGACACAGGAAGAGGAAAGAAAUUCACCAUGCUUUAGAGGGAGAAAGAGCCACCGGCCAUGUGAGAUCUCUGGUGGAAUGGCCAUUGGACACUUCCCCUACUGGACCUAGGGUAGCAGGAAUCCUAUUAAAUGAUGUACAAGUGCAUAAUGUAAUCAAUGAUCAAUGUAAAGGUGGCACCUCAGGAAAAGAAAGAAAAGGACGCCAUUCCUAAGCUCCGAACUACCUCGAUAGGACAAAGUUGUAGCAUAAGUGAUCAGACAGUCGUUUUAAAGGGCGUGACAAGUACACAAGCUGGAAGCCUUCAGAAGGGCGUGAUUUAAGAACUGCGUUUCCAAAGGUGGAGAGGUGUUAGACACACAGGAGACACACCUCGGGUAGCGGACAAUAUACAUGAGAAUAUGUGAAGUUCGACAGAACAUGCUAUGGUCACCAUAAGAAGUCCACAGGCCUGGAGAAUAUAGUCUGUGACGAGAACUUAGGGGGCCUGCGCCACGAGAAGGGAGGAAAAGGGCCGUUAUUCAUCCUUGAAUCACUAGUGCCCAGACUGCCAGGCUCAGCAAAGGCAACGAAUAAAUAAACGAGGCCUGGGAGUGCAGCAUCAUGGUCAGCUUCCCGCAUUUGUGCCAGGUCAGAAGGGAGAUUGUUUCAAAUCCUGUUAGUUCUUUAAAUCCUUCAGAAACUUGAUUGCAGGCUAUUUAUACCAAUUUAAUAUUAGCGUUGAACUAGCUUCUUUUCAUUAUGAGCUAAUUUUAAUUGACCUAUUUAAUUAAACAGACUAUGCACAUCUGUGGAUUUUUAAUGUUUAUAUUUGAAUAGCUUUUUCUCAGCUUCCCAGAUAGAUCACAGGCUACCCUCCUUUCACUGAAACCUACAAGAACCUUCCAGCAGAGAGCCAAGAGAGCAUUCUCCCAGCGUGCGCUGCAAGCUCCCACCCACUGACUACACAUUCCUCCUGCACCAAUCCUUGCCUUCCACUGAGGCUUGCUCGGAGAUUCGAGGAACAGUGGCAGUCUCCAGCAGUAUACCAGGCAGCGGAAUGAGCAAAGGAAAAGGUAAAGAUGCCCCUGCCCUGCUGUUCCACGCAGAACUCAUCGGCUCACUUUCAAAGGCGUUGACUCUACUGCGGCUGGUGUCGCAGCUGCACUCGCCUCUGUGCUAGCUAAUUCUGUCAACUCGGUGACAUGUAACUGUAACUGUAGAAACACAUCUCUGCGAAUCUCUGUAAGGGACGUUCUAGACCAGGUUAACUGACACAGGAAGACCCGGCCCUAGCCGUGGGCAGCACUGUUAAAUGAACUGGGGUCCCAGAACAGAGAGGAGAAAGUCCCUCGAAGCACACAGCAUCCCGAGUGAUGCCCACAGCAUCCCGAGUGACUCGCGCAGUCCCAAAGACAGCGUUGACCCACUGAGUCUUUAAGUAUCUGCUCUAUCAAACCAGCCCCUCACGGACCCUGGACACCUGACAUCCAGCAAGCAUUGGGGACCACUCUGUAAACAGCAUCCUAACUAGUCACCUGACUCAUUCUCUGUUCUGCAAACCUGGGAAUCUGAGGGCGGCAGCAUUCACACACAGUGAGAGCCUGGGCUCUGCUCUCAGGACCUGCAAGUCUCAGGUGCCUUCACCUCCACUACAUCUGCACUGCCCUCGCUGCAGUGAGUAGACCAGACCCGCUUCUGCCCCGCCCACUCGGAUCUCUGCGGGCUACGCCCCCGCUGUUCUCUUCCUUCCCCUCUGUCCCUCCAUCCUCUCUUCACCUUCUGGCAUUUUCCACUCUGACACUGACCUUUGCGUUGACACAGUCAGUCAAUAUGUGAAACCCUUGCUUUUCUCAACCUAAAAUAAAUCCAUAAUUAAUUCAUUAAU
rnacentral:lncRNA from 1 species